rnacentral:rRNA from 1 species
GGUACGGGACGGGCACGCGCGACAUUAGGUAGUUGGCGGGGUAACGGCCCACCAAGCCGACGAUGUCUAGGGGUUCUGAGAGGAAGGUCCCCCACACUGGAACUGAGACACGGUCCAGACUCCUACGGGAGGCAGCAGUGAGGAAUAUUGGUCAAUGGGCGAGAGCCUGAACCAGCCAAGUCGCGUGAGGGAAGAAGGUUUUCGGAUUGUAAACCUCUGUCCUAAGGGACGAAGGAAGUGACGGUACCUUAGGAGGAAGCCCCGGCUAACUACGUGCCAGCAGCCGCGGUAAUACGUAGGGGGCGAGCGUUGUCCGGAAUGACUGGGCGUAAAGGGCGUGUAGGCGGCA